GGGUGCGAUCAUACCAGCCCUAAUGCACCGGAUCCCACCAGAACUCCGAAGUUAAGCGUGCUUGGGCGAGCGUAGUACUAGCUUGGGUGACCUUUUAGGAAGUCCUCGUGUUGCACCCC
rnacentral:rRNA from 1 species